rnacentral:rRNA from 1 species
CCAAUAGCGUAUAUUAAAGUUGUUGCAGUUAAAAAGCUCGUAGUUGAAUUUCGGGAUUGACACAUCGGUCGUGCCUUAAGGGGUAUGAACUGGUGUAGUCAAUUUCUCACCUUCUGGAGAACCGUGAUGCCCUUAAUUGGGUGUCGCGGGGAACCAGGACCUUUACUUUGAAAAAAUUAGAGUGUUUAAAGCAGGCAUUUUGCUUGAAUACAUUAGCAUG